UACGUAGGGUGCAAGCGUUGUCCGGAAUUAUUGGGCGUAAAGAGCUCGUAGGCGGUUUGUCGCGUCGGCUGUGAAAACCUGGGGCUCAACCCCGGGCCUGCAGCCGAUACGGGCAAACUAGAAUUCGGUGAGGGGAGGACUGGAAUUCCUGGAUGUAGCGGUGAAAUGACGCAGAUAUCAGGAGGAACACCGGUGGCGAAGGCGGGUCUCUGGGCAGUAACUGACGCUGAGGAGCGAAAGCGUGGGGAGCGAACAGG
rnacentral:rRNA from 1 species